GGCGGCGUCGCGUACCAGUUUCAAGGUUUCGCUUCGAGUACGCGUUUCGAAACCUUCCUCGCAACCUCUCGGCGGAUCGUCCUUUAACUUGGCACGAAUAAUUGAACGUCAUACCGGCGUGCCCCUCGCACUAAGAAAUGACAGUUAUUUCGGAUUCGAAACAAAGGCGGCGAAAAGUAGCCCUCGAGAAUCCCCGAAAAUAAAACUGGGCCGAAAACCCACGUCGGAGGUAGUUUUGCAACUCGACGACCAGGCGAUAUCUUAUCGUUUCGCCGUUCCUUCGAAAGAUUUUGCAAUCCGCCAAGACGCAGAUUAUUCGUCGGCGUGGAGCUGCUCGAGGAGAGAUUUUCGCGAGUGUUGCACCGCUUUCACCGAAAACGAAAUUCAAGAUUUCGAGUCGAGAUCGAGCGGAACGGCAUCCUCGUGCCCACGACUCGUCUCUAAACGGGCAAAACGGAAAGCUACGCAAAAAGGCAUUCCCGAAUACAUUACACAUAUUAUCCACGUAUAACCGAGUCUUCCGCGUAGGAUAAAUAUUUAUUUCAGGAAAUGCCCCAUGAAUAUAUAUUCACAUAUGCGUUAUUCAUAUCAACCAAGUGGACCGUGUAUACGUACGAGGAACACUCGUAAAAGACUGUCCAGGCUCAAACGAGGAUCCGAUAUGUAUGCAAUACUUUCUCGGAAUAUUUAUCCGGCAUUUUAUAUGUAUAUUUCUUGCAGCGCUUCUCUCCCGCGAUUUUCGAGCCAGGGAGUUCUUCCGGAAGGGAUGUGGAAGUUCAAUUGCACGGUGGGAUAUUUCGACGAUAACUUAUCUCUCCGGAGUGGUAGUACAGUCUACGUCACCUCAUUGCCGCUGUCGGGAAAGGGUAAAAAACGAAACUUAUCUAUCUAGACUGGUAAUAUAGUCAAAGUCACUUCGCCGUCGAAGUCGGAACGUCGUGGACGAGUUUCGUCAUUCGGAAAGACCGGGAAAGGGCCAAAGAACUCUACGUCAGCGAAGCGGAGCGCACUUCCGGUUGGCGCGGAAGGCUACUCCGAUGUCUCGGUAAACCUCGAUCGCACGUGCAGCGGUAACGAGGACGAGCGUUAAUGAAGAUAGAGAGAUAACGGGACGAUCACUAGUUGAAUGUACCGAUGAAUGGAUUUUUUUGCCCUUGUUUUACGUCCCGACCCUUUUUAAAUCGACUCGGAUUGCGAAUAAUGUACCGCAAGUAAGUAAAUAAAGAGACAACGAGAUAUUCAGAAAACACUGAUGGGAGAAGCGCCGAAGAUCACAUCGGUGCUAAUGGUCAUAGCUGGAAAAUAAAUUGACGUCAUCUGCGUCACCUAAAACGGAUUCGGUUCCAUCUCGGCCAUCCAACGAAGUUAAGGUCGACGUUGUCUGCCAUUAACGAGCCCGAAGUCCUCGGUGGGGUCGAAAGGUAGUAUUCGCGUUGACGUCACAUUCUGUUGGAGGAUUUAGCGUAACUCGGAAAAUCGAGUUAAUUCGCUGCAUGCCAGCAAGACAUUGUAAACUCUGGCACGUGUGGGUUUACCUACGUGUUAUCUCGGUAUAAUGCGUAUUUACGUGUACCCGAGUUGGAGCAUAACUUCAUAAAGGACCUCUCUUGUGUGGGUACUCCGGAGUACUCGUGGACCGUUCUGGAAAAAUUUCACGAAUAUUAAAGCCAACGAUAAUGCCGUUUAGAAGUGCGAGAGGUCGGGGUCAUACGCGUUCAAGGAUCAAUUUUUUUUUCCGCAAGCUCUCGGAUCCCAGAGUUCAAAACUCCAUGGGGAGGUCUCAGAAAAUGCCCUCUACGUUGCAGUUAUCCACAUGCGAUCGCGUGCACGCACGGGGUAAUCCUUAAUAUCUCUCGAAAUGUACAUACCCGUGCA
rnacentral:lncRNA from 1 species